UACGAAGGGGGCUAGCGUUGCUCGGAAUCACUGGGCGUAAAGGGUGCGUAGGCGGGUCUUUAAGUCAGAGGUGAAAGCCUGGAGCUCAACUCCAGAACUGCCUUUGAUACUGAGGAUCUCGAGUUCGGGAGAGGUGAGUGGAACUGCGAGUGUAGAGGUGAAAUUCGUAGAUAUUCGCAAGAACACCAGUGGCGAAGGCGGCAUCCUGGACUGGUCCUGACACUCAGGAGCGAAAGCGUGGGGAGCGAUCCGG
rnacentral:rRNA from 1 species